GCGAGCGCAACGUGUUCUACACGGGUGCGGCGCCGAACCAGCAGGCGAUUCCUGCGGUCGACUAUCUCGCCAAGGAAGAGAAGGUGCAGCGUUGGGUUCUGGCCGGCACCGACUACGUCUAUCCGCGCACCACCAACAAGAUCCUUGAAGCCUACCUGAAGUCGAAGGGCGUCAAGGCUGAAGACAUCAUGAUCAACUACACGCCGUUCGGUCACUCGGACUGGCAGACCAUCGUGGCCGACAUCAAGAAGUUCGGUUCGGCUGGCAAGAAGACGGCAGUGGUUUCGACCAUCAACGGCGACGCCAACGUUCCGUUCUACAAGGAGCUCGGCAACCAGGGCAUCAAGGCGACCGACAUUCCGGUCGUUGCGUUCUCGGUCGGUG
rnacentral:misc_RNA from 1 species